CCUACGGGUGGCAGCAGUGGGGAAUAUUGGACAAUGGGGGAAACCCUGAUCCAGUGACGCCGCGUGAGUGAAGAAGUAUUUCGGUACGUAAAGCUCUAUCAGCAGGAAAGAACAUGACUGUACCUGACUAAGAAGCCCCGGCUAACUACGUUCCAGCAGCCGCGGUAAUACGUAGGGGGCAAGCGGUAUACGGAUUUACUGGGUGGAAAGGGUGCCUAGACGGCAGAGCAAGUCUGGAGGGAAAUGCCGGGGGCCAACCCCGGAACUGCUCUGGAAACUGUGAAGCUGGAGUGCAGGAGAGGUAAGCGGAAUUCCUGGUGUAGCGGUGAAAUGCGUAGAUAUGAGGAGGAACACCGGCGGCGAAGGCGGCUUACUGGACUGUAACUGACGUUGAGGCUCGAAGGCGUGGGGAGCAAACAGGAUUAGAUACCCGGGUAGUC
rnacentral:rRNA from 1 species